rnacentral:ribozyme from 1 species
UGCCCAGCAACUCCUAUCCCUACCUCCACGCGGUACCGGCCGGAAACUAUGAGCAACCUUAGGGAAGAUCGGGUAAUCAACCCCGGUGGGAACUUUGGUCGUAGGCUGACAGGGAAGA